UCGGGGUAGGCCUUCAGAUGUGUUUUGCUGAAUAUCACUUUCAGAAGAUUGCGGCUAAACUUCUUCUGUACUUCACUGAGGAUGUCAUAUACCACUUUUUCCACUGGGACCAGGGCUUCAGAGGUGCCUAAAGAACUAGGAACAACUUGAAGAGAGAGAAGCAAACAGGACUCCCUAAGUUUUAUCCUCACAUGACCCAACUGCCUGUGACUUCCAAAACCCUCAGGUUCCAGGAUUUGGAGUAAGUAGGCUUUGUAAGGCAGUGCUGCUUAGGUGUGUCUACUUGCAUCCUAGUUUCUGUCGUUACAUUGCACAAGUGGCCCUGGGAUGGUCUGGAGCAUACUUUGGAGCAUUUCUGCUUGCUAUCCAUCACUGUCACCGUGUGCUUCAGCCUCUGUUACUGCAGAGGUGGAUGUAAGUGGUUCCUGUGAUGUCUGCCUCUCCAGUUACCUUCUGACUUACAAGAAGUGAAGUCCCCUCCUCCCUGGAGGUGCUUCAGCCUGUUGGCUGCACCCAGUUUCAGCAUGAUACAGCCUGGGGCAGGCUUGCUGUCAGGACUGAGUUAUUCUCCACAUUUACCUGAAACUUCUGUUCAGAGAUGAAGUCUCGGUCUCGAAGGCUCAUGAGGAAAGGAAAUGGCCUGGUGAUGGCACUUGCUAUCUCCACCUUGUUUUCUUUGAAGUGCUUGAACAUGAGCUGAUAGUCAUCCGACUCCUCUUCAUUCUGGUCCUCUGGAAUUGUCCUAAGGGAUAGAUUCCAUGCAGAAGUAGAUAUUGGUUUAUAAGAUGCCACCAAUGGCUGGAUAAUUUCUGGCAUGAAGAAUGGUUCGCUAAUAUAAAAUUUAAAAAAAAAUUAAACAUCU